rnacentral:lncRNA from 1 species
CUGGCCCAGCCCUCCGCAGGGUGUAACCCUGCUCUGGGGUGAACUUUCAUUCACUGUGGAGCAGCACGCUGCUCUUCCAUAAAGACUCCACAAACGACUGCAAAAACCAAAGGCUGGCCACCUUCUAUGCCGAUGUUGUGACUCCAGAAUGCUUGCAAAGGGGAAUCCAGGCACAAUCUUCAGCUGUUGUGCAUCCAAAAACGAUUAUGGAAAUGAUGCUG